UUUUUUUUAAAAAAAAAAAUGAUUCUAAUUCUGUGAAAUUUUAUUUUGUGAAAUCAAUUUUUAAUUUAUUGUCAAAAUACUCCUGGUGUAUGGGAGAGCCUGCAAAACAAAAGAAAUCUUAAAAUAUAAAACCGUUGUAAAAUAAAAUAUAUAAUCACAAAGAAAAAAAAUGCAUGACCAAAAUGUAUCCAGGUGGACACGACAUCACUCUACUUUUGUCCAAAUCUCUUAGUUUUUCUACGACAUCACUGUACUUUUGUCCAAGUCUUUUAGUUUUUCUUACAGUAUAAUUAUGAUUAUAAUACUUGAUUGGAUUUAUUGUACUCUCAUAUUAACCCGACAUAAAUUGGUUAGGCUAUUCAGAUCUGGUGAAGUCUAAAAUAACAGCAACGGCAAAAUGCAUUCCACUAGAUUAAAAUUUAAUGAUAGAAUGCUUGUAGACAAUUUCCGAUAUUAGGAUUGUGGUAACCUCCGACCAAUAGAAAUCUACGAGUCAUUAAAGAUGAAUCCUUCCUUCCCCCGAGUAAUUUCACCAUCAACCCUUGAUUGAAAAUCACACACUACCAAAUCGGAUUGUAUGAUGGAUGAUGACUAGAUGAUAAAAGGAUAUUCACUCAACACAAAUCAGGUGGUAGAUAUUAGAGAGUCUAGCUGGAAACUGUUCUAGAGGAUAGAAUAUGAUCAUGGAUUUGGCAAAAAUUUGCACCAAGAGUACUAAAAAUUAUAGAAGGAUCACAGAAUCUGUAAUUAUAUGAUUUCUAUGCAUUUAAAUGCUUCCAUCCAGUGAUGCACUUAAUAUAGAAGUUAAUUGUAAUAAUUUUUUUAGGGUGGAUACAACAUAAGAAAUGCAUUAUCCUUUGCCAUCCUAAAUGAAAUCAUUCAUGGAAAAUACCCAACAUAAGCCGUGCCAAUUGAUGGCUAGGUGGGGAAAACGUGUCUUUGAAAGCAGGCUUCCCCAAAUUAUCACCAGACGGAAAGCAUCAAGUGGCUGUCAAGCUCAGGGCGGUGAGAUGGGUUGUCAAGCCAUGUCAAAGGGGAACCAGAAAUCUCACUUUUGAUUUGUGUUUCUCUAAUUAAGUGAUAAAUGAGCAGCAGCGCUCUAUUUUAUUGUGGACUCGCUACCUAAUGACUUUGAUUUUCAACAUUAUCGAACUAUGGACUAUCAACUAGGCCCGAGCAAGUCAAAAUAACAUUGCCAUUGGCUUGCUAUUUAUCAAACUAGAUCACGGGGAAAAAAAAUCCAUGCAUCUCCAUUGAUGUGGUAGAAGUAAAACGAGAGAGCAAGCCAUUGCCAGUAGACUAUCUAGAAAAAACUGAUAUAAUGAAUUUUCAAAUCCAGUUUGAGGGGGGUUGCUCAAAAUACUAGACCGAAAUGAACUAUUUCUCGGAAGUGAAGUGAUCAAUCGAAGGGCUAGGAUUACCCGCUGGGGCAACUACAGAGGAUGAUCUGUAGCAAGAUCCCAAGAAAAUGAAAGACACGGGGCUCGACAUCAGUAGCCCACUUAUACUGACUACAUCUCGGCGAACGGAGUUCUAACAGCAGUAUUAAGCAAGUUUUGUAUUUACAGAAACACUCUCCCUGGCAUAAAAGAAUGCAGUGGAUGCUCCAGAAUUGUACAAGCGAUAAGUUUUUAAGAGAAAGAAGAAAGAGGCAGCUCUUCCAGUAGUUGUGAGCAGGUUUUUCUCAAAGUCUAAAUGCUUUUUUGUCAUGUCAAGAAAUUGGUAGAGAUGUUACUCGGGACUAUAAACACUAUCAUUUUAAGAAAAUAGCCAUUCAUUGACCAAAAAAGUAUGGAGAGGAAUUUAUACUUGCAAAGAAAAGAAAAAAACAUCUUAUCACCAAUUUGAAACCUAAUUUAUAUCAUAGUUAAAGCCUUGAGAGGAUGAAUCAACAGGCCAAAGUUUUGAAAAAAACAGAUAGAGCAACCAUAUUACCUGGACAAGAGCAUUUAUAAUGACAAGGGGGUCAAAUUUUGAGCAGUAGCUCGCCUCAAUUUACCAUAUACAGCGGUUGAGAACUGCACAGCAAUGAGAUUUACUUAUCAUUUCACAUAUUGCUUCCCUAUAUAAGAUAUAAGUGCAUGAUCUGAAACUCAAAGUGAUAUGAGCACAACCCACACACAUACAAACUCUCAAGAAAUGCAUGAAUGAUGCAGAGUAAGCAUUAUAUGGAAUACAACAGGAAAAAUGGGCAUGGAAAUUACUAGUUCAGGUAGCCAUUAGAUGUGGAGUGUGUUCAACUAGCUUGAUCCUGCUCUAUAACUACUACGAGGUCAAUCAAAAAAUCGCAAUGGCAUAUCAUAAAUGAAAACCUGUGAAACAUAAAAAACACAACACACCAUUUCAUAGAAACAAGGCCAAUCGCCAAGUCUUUAUCUUCAGUUAAAGUGUAAUAUUCAUCUGUGACAACCUUAAUUAAUGCACCCAUAAGCUUCUUUGAUUGAACAUCUGCUUUCAAACUACAA
rnacentral:lncRNA from 1 species